ACAAUGGGCGAAAGCCUGAUCCAGCAAUGCCGCGUGUAGGAUGAAGGCCCUCGGGUUGUAAACUACUUUUGUACGGAACGAAAAGACUCUUUCUAAUAAAGAGGGUCCAUGACGGUACCGUAAGAAUAAGCACCGGCUAACUAC
rnacentral:rRNA from 1 species